rnacentral:rRNA from 1 species
UGGAAGGAAAAAAAACGUAACAAGGUUUCCGUAGGUGAACCUGCGGAAGGAUCAUUACUGAGUGAGGGCCCUCUGGGUCCAACCUCCCACCCGUGUUUAUUAUACCUUGUUGCUUCGGCGGGCCCGCCGUCAGGCCGCCGGGGGGCUUCUGCCCCCGGGCCCGCGCCCGCCGAAGACAUCUCGAACUCUGUCUGAAGAUUGUAGUCUGAGUAUAAAUAUAAAUUAUUUAAAACUUUCAACAACGGAUCUCUUGGUUCCGGCAUCGAUGAAGAACGCAGCGAAAUGCGAUACGUAAUGUGAAUUGCAGAAUUCAGUGAAUCAUCGAGUCUUUGAACGCACAUUGCGCCCUCUGGUAUUCCGGAGGGCAUGCCUGUCCGAGCGUCAUUGCUGCCCUCAAGCACGGCUUGUGUGUUGGGCCCCGUCCUCCGAUCCCGGGGGACGGGCCCGAAAGGCAGCGGCGGCACCGCGUCCGGUCCUCGAGCGUAUGGGGCUUUGUCACCCGCUCUGUAGGCCCGGCCGGCGCUUGCCGAUCAACCAAAUUUUUAUCCAGGUUGACCUCGGAUCAGUAGAUCCAUCU